UACGUAGGGUGCGAGCGUUAAUCGGAAUUACUGGGCGUAAAGCGUGCGCAGGCGGUUCGUUGUGUCGGUGGUGAAAUCCCCGGGCUUAACCUGGGAACUGCGCUUCUAACUGGCAGGCUUGAGUGUGGCAGAGGGGGGUGGAAUUCCACGUGUAGCAGUGAAAUGCGUAGAGAUGUGGAGGAACACCAGUGGCGAAGGCGACUCUUUGGCCUGUAACUGACGCUGAGGCGCGAAAGCGUGGGGAGCAAACAGG
rnacentral:rRNA from 1 species